GAGCUUCCAAAGCAACACCAUGUGUCAGCGUUAUUUGUGCCCUUUCCCCAGCAGCAAACCAGGGAGCCCUGGAUCUGUUUACACCUCCGUCGGUACCAACGCUGAGCUGCUCCGAGGGGUUCUGCCGGUUCUGGGAUUUGAUUUCUGGAGAUUUGUUGAGCCAAAGUGUAGAAUCCCGGCUUUACGGAAGAUCAUUCUGUGAGGAAUUUGUUUCUGGACAGGAUUGUCAAGGUGAAAGAUGUCGUUAAAGAGCCGGCUGGUUUCCAUGUUCUUGUGCUGUGUUUACUGCGUGGCCUCGCUCUUCUGCCUCCAUCCGAACCGCAGCAACGUCAUCUCAGUGGGAGCGAGGAGUCUGGCGUCCGUCGUCCAGCAGCUUUACCAGCGUGUCGUUCGGAUGCUGAGAACCACGCUGUGACUUCACACCACUUCCUGUGUUUGAAAGAGCCUCCUCUGUCACUGUGACCGUGACCGAGCAUGCCUCCCAACAGAGCGAGAGCAAACGAAUAAAAGAAGAGGAAAGAACGGAGGAAUAAUGUGUGGGCCUGCAGAGUUUGCAUCAACACAUAUGAAUACAGACUUAUUUUUCUUCAAAUGAAGGCGGACAACGUUGACAUUUGCUGUAUGAGAUAUUAGUCGGAUGUGUCUCUGGUUGGGUAGACUAAGUAAAAAAUUAUGGAAUGGUAAUUUGGUUUAAAUACAAAAAGAAAAACGAACCUAGUGUUUUAUGUAUUUGGCAAAAUCAGUUGUAGUGAGUGAGUGUGGUUUAGCAGAGAAACGUUAACUUAUCAGUUGUCUUGACAAUUUUAAAGAUUACCAAAAGUAAUUCUAAGUCAAAACAUGCAGAUUUAAUGGAUGAAAAGGGGAAAAAAAAUAAUGAAAGGCAAUUUCACUUAAAAACACGUUAAAAUAUCCUGCAAAAGUAUCCAUACCUCAUCAGCUUUUGCUAAAAAAAAAGCAACCAACAGUAUUUCAUUGAUGUGUAAAGAACUUUUGUCUCCUUCUCUCACAAAUUUGGAGUCUGUCGUCCAACUUUUUCCCAGCAGAAGCGUUAUUAUGACCUGAAUGAAUCUUUGAAAACUCAACAACUGGCUGCUCUAAGAGCUAAAAUAGAGUGUGUUGCUUGGAGUUUGCAUCACAUUCGUAGUUUCCUGAUUGGUUCUAAGUUAUUUCCCCUCACCCUGUUAGUCCCACCUUUGAAAUUGGGCUCUACCGGCUGCUUUUCAGACUGAUGUGCCGUGUUUACGGCGUAAGCCAGUGUGGCUGGCCAGGUCAGUGCUAUACAACAUUUCACAAAUGACUGUUCAGUCCAUCAUCUGAAAAUGGAAAGAGCAUGGAACAACUGCAAACCUGCCAAGAUAUGGCUGAUCAAAUAAACCGACAGCAUUAAUCAGAGAAGCAGCCAGGCAGCUCAUGGGAACUCUGGAGGAGCUGCAGAGAUUCACAGCCCAGGAGGGAGACUUUUUUUUUUUACAUGAUAGCUAACUGCACACUCUACAAAUGUGGUCUAAUUGAAGAAAAAAAAGAGUCAUUGCUAAAAGAAAGCUAUAGGAAAUCCAGGACCAAAGCUUAACCUUUUUUUUUUUUUUUUUUGCAUGGCAAAACACUGAGUCUGCAUAUUCUGUGGUGAAACACAGUGGUGGCAACAUUAUGCUGUGGGGCUUAUUUUCUUAGCCAGGGACAGGGAAGCUGAUCAGACUUGAUGAGAAGAUAGAUAGAAAUAACAAUAGGGAAAUAUUGGACCUAUUAUAGGCUCACAAAGGAUUUGAGAAAAGGCCAUAGCAGCUGGAGCCCAUUUCAGCCACAGGGUGUCACAGUAAAACACACAAUUCCCUUUUUUUUUUUUUUCUAUAAAAUGUGGGAGAAAAUUAGAAUUAAUAAACAGUUCGGCCUCCACCCCCAAGGAAAGCCCUGCUAAUAAGGUCUUAAAUGUGUAUUUGAACAUUCAGUAUAAAUUGCUAAUAUCAGCUCAGUAAAUAUUGUGCUUUUAACCACAAAUUCAUCCCUGGUGCCGACCGUGACGUCUCAUCUCUUGUGGACAGUGGCAUAAUUGUUUGAUGCGUUAAAUCGCGGGUUUGAACCUUUUAAUAGAUCUAUUUAAACACUGUACAGCUUCAUUUGGUAGGAAAAUAACCUCCGGGGUGGUGUUUAUAACAAUGCAAAAGAGUUUUCCUGCAACAGAAAACAGCGGGGCACAUGCGUGUUUGUUUGUUUCUUCGUGCAUUAAGCGGCUCUGAAAAGUCUCAUUUUGCCUCAUUUACUUUGAGCACGAGAGGUGCAACUCAAACUGUCUAAAUUGCCUGGCGCCAAUGAGUGUUCAGAUUUUUUGGGGGGGGCUGAGCUGUUUUAGUCUUAUUCUUUGAGUUUUGUUGGCACAUUUUUAGCUUGUCUGUUGUCUCAUCAUAAAGAGGAUGCUGCAGCGGGCUCUGCAUCUUCCAGCUGGACAACGACCACUUGCAGCCAAAGCCAGAAUGGUUCAGUCAAAGACCAGACAUAUCCAACUGAGAAUAUGUGGCAUGAUUUAAAAAUAGUUGUAAACAACUACUGUCAGUCCAUUCUAAGUGAGAUUAAACUUCUUUUUUUUAAAAGAAAGACACAAAAUCAAUGUCCAGAAGUACAAAGCUGGUAGAGACACAACCCAACAGACUUGCAGCUGUAAUUGCAGCUCAAGAAGGUGGAAUAUUAAUGUGUGCCACUCUUAUAACGUUUUCAGUUGUAACAAAACAUGUUUUUUCCCCCCUUUAACUUCACAAUUAUGCAACAUUUUGUGUUGGUGUAUGAAAGGAAAUUCCAGUGAAACACAUUAAAGCUCGUGGGUUUAACAUUAGAAAAUGUAACAAAAUACUCUGGGAGGUAUGGUUACUUUUGCAAAACAAGAGAAAAGAAACACAAAGAUCUGAUGUGUGCAAGCAUAAAAUAUAAUUUAAGACUUCAGUAGGACACAUGUUUCUUACAUCAGGCACACUUUGUUUGCAAAGGGGAUGUGUUUUUCUUGUCAAUAAUCCAGAAAUGAUGAGCUACAGUGUCAUUGCAUUCAGUUUUUUGGGUUUUUUUUUGCAUUGUAUAGUGUUCUUCCGACUCUAAAUAUGUAUUUUUAUUUUUUAUUUUUAUUAUGAAACAUAUAUCAUAUUUUUUAUUUACAAUAUUUAUCAAUUUGUUUUUGUUUUUUGAUUGUCAAAUUGUAAACGGAAUAGUUACAACAAAUGAAAAAAAAAUGUGGUGAAGUUACUUUGAAAAUUAGAUGUCUGGAGGAGAAUCUAACUGCAUGUGCGACCGGCCUUUUCACUUAAAUCUAAAUCAAGUAUUGUUAUUUAACAAUAAACCAUAAAAAACAGGGGACAUUGUGUCUGCAGGUUUGAGCUAAUAAACAUGAUUUUUGAUGUGAAAAUGGUUUUGAUUGUCAGAAAGAUGAGAUGUAAGAUAGUGAGGAUGAUAAUAUUUAGGAGAGAGUUGUGAGAAGGAUAAUCUGUAGGUCAGAAAGAAAGGAUAACGACAAAGUCAGAAGAGAAGAAUGUGAAAACAGAGAAAAAGGCUAAAUGGUGUAGAAGUGGAUGGUUCACAAAGAUGAAACCUGACCUCCAUAACUCUUGUUCUUAUAUGAGAGAUAAUCUGAAGGAUGCCCGUCUGUGGGCUUAUGUCUUACUGGACUUCACAAAUGAGCAACAGAUCCCCGCAACCUGUUUUCAUUUUGUGCAAGAAACUCUAAAGACAUCAAUGCUUUAUUAGUGUGUGAAUCUGAGCAAAAUCAGCAUCAGUGUGCAGCCUUUCCAGUUGAUGUAUAUUUGUUAGCAACCCAGACUAGAUGGUAGUUUUCCUUUCUAAUGUACUGAUUACUUACAUUUAAUAUGAAAAACAUUUAAUCAUAGGGAGUUUUUUUAUGUUGUGAUAAGAGAAAAGCUGAUUUGAUUUUCUACCUAGACUUCUUUGUCAUUUUGCAAAGAUAUUUGAAAAUAAAAGAUGGUGGAUAAUUUCCAGCGAUUUAACUGAAUGUUAUUUUGGGUGGAAACAUCUAGAAAAAACUUUCUUGUUCUAAUGACGGACAUUUUUAAACACAUUUGUAUGAAAUGAGUGCAUAGAAAUAAAAUGACUCUCCAUGGAUAACAUUGUUGACCGUUUCCAAGUUUUGCUGUUGUAAAUUAGUUUUAAUAAAUGGUCAAAUCUGA